rnacentral:rRNA from 1 species
GCGAAACCGCGAGGUGGAGCUAAUCUCAAAAAACUGGCCUCAGUUCGGAUUGCAGGCUGCAACUCGCCUGCAUGAAGUUGGAUUCGCUAGUAAUCGCGCAUCAGCCACGGCGCGGUGAAUACGUUCCCGAUCCUUGUACUCACAACUAAACGCGCCCGGCAGCUUAUAUAUCUAAGUGGUUUAAAUCCACU